AAUAAGAGUCAUCUUAGGCUUCGUACGUACGGUGAGAACUACGAUAGAAAAAUAUUUUAUUUAUUUCCGUAAAUAAUAUUACAUUCCGCAUAUUACGAUGAGUCGGUUAUAGUAUAUUUUCUACGGUUCCACCGGAGAACGCAAAGCAUAUCUCUAUAUGCUUUUUUUCUAACUUCAUUUUAUUUAACAGCGUAAGAUAGAUCUCAAUAUCAAUCUAAGCCUUACUAAAUUCACGACGUUCAUAACAUAGAUGGAUUGUGUGAUUCAAGCAUCAGAUGAGACUCACGUUGAGUACCUAACCACUUAUUUUACUUUUGAAAAAGCAGAUCAUUCUUUAUAAAUUCGUGAAGCACAUGUUAGCAACAAGGAUAAGUGCGUGUUAGUUUUGCCGAAUGUGAAGUUACGAAUGAAAUCGAUUUUUAGUUGAACUAGAGUUCAAGUGAAUAUUUUUUCUU
rnacentral:lncRNA from 1 species